CUUAAAUAAAAAAAUGGAAACUAAUCAAAAGAGUGAGAGAAAAAGUUAGUAUAAUAUGCACAAAAGGCUAUAGAUGAUCAAUCCUCAAGAAAAUGUAACAAUGGAGAUGAUAAUGGCUGCUCCAGAAAAUGAAGAACGACCAGUUUAUGCACUUAAUGAAUUCAAUCUUAAAAUGACCCCUGACGAAUAUGUUGGUAUACAUCUGAAUGGAAGGCGACUGAGUUUUAGACAGUUGAGGUUGAGGUACUAUAGUGAUGGGCACAACCAUGGUGUUGGAACAAGAUGAGUUUGUUCUGGAGUUGUCGAAGCUGCACACUUAUGACGAUGUCGUGGAAAGAGUGGCUAAGAAACUUGGUCUUGACAAUGAAUUGCAAGGUCUUAAAACCAUAAAAGUUGCUUUCCAUCAUGCGCCAGGGGCGGAUCCACCAUAUACAUGGGUGGUGCAGGUGCAUCAUAUGAAUUUUAGAAAAUAUAUGUAUAUUAUAUAAUUUCUAUAGUAUGCACCACAAUGAAAUGUAAAAUUGCACCCUACUUAUUUAUUCCUACAUCUCAAUGAAUAUUAAUUUUCUAAGGUUUAAAGUCCAAUAGAUAUACCAAAUUUUAAAUCCACUUAAUUUUAUUCCUUUUUCUUUUGAUCGAAGAUA